UGGCGGCAUCNUUUCACAUGCAAGUCGGACGGCAGCGAGGGAGUGUUUGCACUUCUGUCGGCGAGUGGCGAACGGGUGAGUAAUGCAUUGGAACGUACCGAGUAGUGGGGGAUAACUGUCCGAAAGGAUAGCUAAUACCGCAUACGACCUGAGGGUGAAAGCGGGGGACUUUUAGGAGCCUCGCGCUAUUUGAGCGGCCAAUGUCUGAUUAGCUAGUUGGUGGGGUAAAGGCCUACCAAGGCAACGAUCAGUAGCGGGUCUGAGAGGAUGAUCCGCCACACUGGGACUGAGACACGGCCCAGACUCCUACGGGAGGCAGCAGUGGGGAAUUUUGGACAAUGGGCGAAAGCCUGAUCCAGCCAUGCCGCAUGUCUGAAGAAGGCCUUCGGGUUGUAAAGGACUUUUGUACGGGAAGAAAAGGCGGAUGCUAAUAUCAUUUGCUGAUGACGGUACCGUAAGAAUAAGCACCGGCUAACUACGUGCCAGCAGCCGCGGUAAU
rnacentral:rRNA from 1 species